UGGGGAAUAUUGCACAAUGGGCGCAAGCCUGAUGCAGCCAUGCCGCGUGUAUGAAGAAGGCCUUCGGGUUGUAAAGUACUUUCAGCGAGGAGGAAGGGGAUAAAGUUAAUACCUUUGUCCAUUGACGUUACUCGCAGAAGAAGCACCGGCUAACUCCGUGCCAGCAGCCGCGGUAAUACGGAGGGUGCAAGCGUUAAUCGGAAUUACUGGGCGUAAAGCGCACGCAGGCGGUCAAUUAAGUCAGAUGUGAAAGCCCCGAGCUUAACUUGGGAAUUGCAUCUGAAACUGGUUGGCUAGAGUCUUGUAGAGGGGGGUAGAAUUCCAUGUGUAGCGGUGAAAUGCGUAGAGAUGUGGAGGAAUACCGGUGGCGAAGGCGGCCCCCUGGACAAAGACUGACGCUCAGGUGCGAAAGCGUGGGGAGCAAACAGG
rnacentral:rRNA from 1 species